AUUGAACGCUGGCGGCACGCCUAACACAUGCAAGUCGAGCGGCAGCGAGUGUAGUAGCAAUACUACAUGUCGGCGAGCGGCGGACGGGUGAGUAACGCGUAAGAACCUGCCGUAUAGAUGGGGACAACCAAGGGAAACUUAGGCUAAUACCGAAUAUUCUCGCGAGAGGAAAGGUGCCUAGCAAUAGGUGUCGCUAUACGAGGGGCUUGCGUCCGAUUAGCUAGUUGGUGGGGUAAAAGCCUACCAAGGCGAUGAUCGGUAACUGGUCUGAGAGGACGACCUGUCACACUGGGACUGAGACACGGCCCAGACUCCUACGGGAGGCAGCAGUGGGGAAUAUUGGACAAUGGGGGCAACCCUGAUCCAGCGAUGCCGCGUGGGUGAAGAAGGCCUUCGGGUUGUAAAGCUCUUUCGCAAGGGAAGAAACGAUACAGUCUAAUAAACUGUGUUAAUGACGGUACCUUGAUAAGAAGCACCGGCUAACUACGUGCCAGCCGCCGCGGUAA
rnacentral:rRNA from 1 species